GAAGCUAAGUACAAAUAGAUAAUCUAAAAGGUAAUAUACAAGAAAAAUGACGUUUGAAAUAAGAGUUGAAAUAUAGCAUUUAGUAAAUUAACGUAAUUACAAACAUAGUUUACAUGCCUUCGCUCAAAAUAGUCCGACCUCAUACAAAAAAUUAUGUAAUAACUACUACUUCCACAAUUAUGAUAGAUUCCAUAAUUCCUAUCGCCCAUUCAAUGACACAAGAAAAUGACAGAGUAUCAACUCAAAUAGAAAACAUUGUUGUUCGAACGAUAAUAACACAAAGCAAAUCAUUUGCCAAACAUUUUAUAUCAUAAUGUCAAUACAUUUAGUCUGUGGAAAAAUAUUAUUAUACCAAUAAAAAAUUCAUACUAAAGACCUGUACAUAGCAAGUAUAUCAAAAUGAAAUAAAUCAAUGUUUUGAGCUUCGGAAGUUUAGAUGCCAAGGCCCAUUGACUUCAGUAUGUUCAAUAGAGUAAUGUUCUGAAUGCAAUUUGUUGGCAACCAAUACUAUGCAUCAAUAAGAAAUUUAUAAGAAUUCCAACCAAGAUUUCUAAUGAUCCUAUUGGUACACUAGCAAAUUUUAACAGAGAGGCAGGUUCCAAACUUAAGCCAACGUCAUCAAAUACCAAUUUGAACCAAAUACAAUGUUUCACCAAAUAUCCCAUAUCAAUGCUAGCAAAUCUUACUUCAUUAAAGACCAAACUCCAGUAAUUCGAUUCACCUCAACAGGGCAAAAAAAAUAAAUAAAUAAAUAAAAUUUGAGACGUGGAAGAUAAUGAAAAAACUAAACAUGAUAAUGAAAUUUCUAAUUGGGCAUGACAGCUAUUACAUAGAUAAAUGAUAAUGAAGCAAAAAUCCAAACUCGUGUGCAAAGAAAUUUGACUACUACCAAUUCAAAUGUGGUCUUCAACGUCUAAUAUAUCAAAGAUAAAAAUAGCAUAGCUCCAGUAAAAUCUUCUAUUCAAAAAAUAAUAAUAAUAAAGAAAAAAUCACAGGUAUAUGCAUUUAUACGCUUACCAGAUGGGACUAAGAUUAGGUGGAACAAGAUUUGUGGACUUCGUAAAGAUGAGCACUGACUGCGCUUGAGCUCGCUUGCGGCCAGAGAACUUCAAGCAUGUGCUAGCCAGAGCUUGCUUUCUCCCUUCUGAGACUCGAAAUGGGUGGAGAUGUAAAUUAGAAAAUUUGGGAAAAAUGGGUGGAGAUGGAGAUUUCAAGUGAGCCAGAGGAAAUUUUCUCCCUUUCAUGAGUGUGCUUUGGGAAAAGUGGGUGGAGAGAGAAAGCAGCAUUUAUUUUAUUAAUUUCCCUCCUUAAUUUGCUAGUGUUAAUUUUCCUCUAUUUGCACCUGGU
rnacentral:lncRNA from 1 species